rnacentral:rRNA from 1 species
CCUACGGGUGGCAGCAGUGAGGAAUAUUGGUCAAUGGACGGAAGUCUGAACCAGCCAUGCCGCGUGCAGGAAGACGGCUCUAUGAGUUGUAAACUUCUUUUGUACAAGAGUAAACCUGAAUACGUGUAUUCAGCUGAAAGUACUUUACGAAUAAGGAUCGGCUAACUCCGUGCCCGCAGCCGCGGUAAUACGGAGGAUCCAAGCGUUAUCCGGAUUUAUUGGGUUUAAAGGGUGCGUAGGCGGAUUGGUAAGUUAGAGGUGAAAUGUUCGGGCUUAACCCGGGAACUGCCUCUAAUACUGGUGAUCGAGAGAGUAGAUGAGGUAGGCGGAAUGUAUGGUGUAGCGGUGAAAUGCUUAGAGAUCAGACAGAACACCGAUUGCGAAGGCAGCUUACCAAUCUAUAUCUGACGUUGAGGCACGAAAGCGUGGGGAGCAAACAGGAUUAGAUACCCUUGUAGUC